rnacentral:rRNA from 1 species
AGCAGCCGCGGUAAUUCCAGCUCCAAUAGCGUAUAUUAAAGUUGUUGCAGUUAAAAAGCUCGUAGUUGAAUUUCGGGACCAAUCUGCCGGUCGUGCCUCCGGUACGCACUGGUUUUAUUGGUCUCUCCCUUCUGACGAACCAUGAUGUCAUUAAUUUGGUGUCAUGGGGGAUCAGGACUGUUACUUUGAAAAAAUUAGAGUGUUUAUAGCAGGCUCACGCUUGAAUACAUUAGCAUGGAAUAAUGAAAUAGGACGUUUGACCCUAUUUUGUUGGUUUCUAGGAUCGACGUAAUGAUUAAUAGGGAUAGUUGGGGGCAUUAGUAUUCAAUUGUCAGAGGUGAAAUUCUUGGAUUUAUUGAAGACUAACUACUGCGAAAGCAUUUGCCAAGGAUGUUUUCAUUAAUCAAGAACGAAAGUUAGGGGAUCGAAGACGAUCAGAUACCGUCGUAGUCUUAACCAUAAACUAUGCCGACUAGGGAUCGGAUGAUGUUAAUUUUUUAAUGACUCAUUCGGCGCCUUA